CCUACGGGUGGCAGCAGUGAGGAAUAUUGGUCAAUGGACGAGAGUCUGAACCAGCCAAGUAGCGUGAAGGAUGACUGCCCUAUGGGUUGUAAACUUCUUUUAUAUGGGAAUAAAACGUUCCACGUGUGGGAUUUUGUAUGUACCAUAUGAAUAAGGAUCGGCUAACUCCGUGCCAGCAGCCGCGGUAAUACGGAGGAUCCGAGCGUUAUCCGGAUUUAUUGGGUUUAAAGGGAGCGUAGGUGGAUUGUUAAGUCAGUUGUGAAAGUUUGCGGCUCAACCGUAAAAUUGCAGUUGAAACUGGCAGUCUUGAGUACAGUAGAGGUGGGCGGAAUUCGUGGUGUAGCGGUGAAAUGCUUAGAUAUCACGAAUAACUCCGAUUGCGAAGGCAGUUCACUGGACUGCAACUGACACUGAGGCUCGAAAGUGUGGGUAUCAAACAGGAUUAGAUACCCUUGUAGUC
rnacentral:rRNA from 1 species